rnacentral:lncRNA from 1 species
GGAAUCCCCUAGCUUGAUCCACUUAGCUCUUGAUUUUUGUUGUAAGGCUGACUCUUCUACAAGUGACCAUUUCUCCAGUUGCUGCACCAUUUCCUUUACUUUUUGUUGGAGAUUGUCUGAAUAAGAAAGAUCCAGUUGAUGCAUAUCUAUCAAUUCAUUCCUGCUGCUUUCAGUCCUUUGGGAAAUGUUUUUAAAGUCUCUAACAUUAAGAGAUUUUAAA